rnacentral:piRNA from 1 species
UGAAAUUGCCAGUUACUUGUGUCCUGUAGCC